GUCCGCCACCAGCCUGGGCAGCAGCCUGGCCCUGACUCCUCGGAGCUCCCAUGCCCAGCCCAGUUCUCAGGGCCCCGUUCGCCUGGCUUCUGCGGGCACCCUGCGCCAGGGCUGGGUCCGCUCACCCAGCAGGGAUAGAACUUGGGACCUUGUGCUUGUGAGGCAGGUGGUGGAACCACUGAGCCAAAUCCCCAGCUCUGUUUUUCUUUUUUAGAUGGGCACCACCCCUGUGCCAGGCACCGAGGGAGCCGGGACGGAGGCCAGGGAGGCCGUGAGGGCAGUCCCUGCCGCAUGGGGGUCAGGUCUGAGCAGGGCAGGGUCCCUGAACCCUGGCUCGGGGGAGGAUGGUGACCUGUGGCCGGGGUGGGGCGGAUAAGGCCCCAUCAAUCACCUGGGCCGGCUCCCUUGCCUGGGGCUCCUUCCAGCUGCCUGGGGCCUCCGGAGCCUGAGGGGGGUAGGCCCAGUGCCCCAGACGCCAUUCGGGGUGUGGGUGAGGGUCGGGGCCCUGAUGUGCACUGGGAACUGAGACCCGGGAGGGGCGGCUCCUGCCCCACGUCCCCCGGGUCUGAUGCCGCUGCAGCCUGGGCUUUGUGGGGGUGGCAGGGAGCCGGGAGAGGGGCUGAGGGCUCUGCUUCAGCUCGGUCUGUGGUGGCAGCGGGCUGGGCCUUUCUCGGGGCCUCAGUUCUCCGAGAGUGAAGUGUGACCU
rnacentral:lncRNA from 1 species